CCUGGUUGAUCUUGCCAGUAGUCAUAUGCUUGUCUCACAGAUUAAGCCAUGCAAGUGAAAGUACAUAUGUAAAUAAUAUAUUGAAACUGCGAACGGCUCAUUAAAACAGUUAUAAUCUACUUGAUGUUUUUAAUAUAAGGAUAACUACGGAAAAUCUGUAGCUAAUACUUGUGAAAAUACCUUUUGAUAUAUACAUAUGUAUGUAUCAUUAAGGUAUGUAUUUGUUAGAUAUAAGAAUAAAAUAAAUAUAAUUGAAUUAUAACAAAGAAGAAACACAUAAAAUAUGUGUAUUAUCAAUCGAGUAUCUGACCUAUCAGCUUUUGAUGUUAGGGUAUUGACCUAACAUGGCUAUGACGGGUAACGGGGAAUUAGAGUUCGAUUCCGGAGAGGGAGCCUGAGAAAUAGCUACCACAUCUAAGGAAGGCAGCAGGCGCGUAAAUUACCCAAUUCUAAAAAAGAGAGGUAGUGACAAGAAAUAACAAUACAAUAUCGAAAAAUGAUUUUGUAAUUGGAAUGAUAGGAAUUUACAAGGUUCCUAGAGAAACAAUUGGAGGGCAAGUCUGGUGCCAGCAGCCGCGGUAAUUCCAGCUCCAAUAGCAUAUAUUAAAAUUGUUGCAGUUAAAACGUUCGUAGUUGAAUAUUAAAGAAUCCGAUGUUUCAUUUAAACUGGUUUGGGAAAACCAAAUAUAUUAUAUAUUUUGCUUUGUUCAAAAUAAGGUUUUCUAAUAAAUUAUGUUUUUAUCAGAUAUGACAGAAUCUUUUUUAAAAUCUCUUCAAUAUGCUUUUAUUGCUUUUGAGAGGUUUUGUUACUUUGAGUAAAAUUAAGUGUUCAUAACAGACGGGUAGUCAUGAUUGAGUUCAUUGUGUUUGAAUACUACAGCAUGGAAUAACAAAUAUGAAUAAGCUAAUUAUUUUUUUUUUUCAUUAUUUUUUUUGAUAUUCUUAUUAGCUUAGUUACGAUUAAUAGGAGUAGCUUUGGGGGCAUUCGUAUUCAGAUGUCAGAGGUGAAAUUCUAAGAUUUUCUGGAGACGGACUACUGCGAAAGCAUUUGCCUAAUCUAUUUCCAUUAAUCAAGAACGAAAGUUAAGGGAGUGAAGACGAUCAGAUACCGUCGUAAUCUUAACCAUAAACUAUACCGACUAGGUGUUGGAUGAAUAUAAAAAAUAUAUAAAUAUGUAGCAUUUCUUAGGGAAUGUUGAUUUUAUAUUAGAAUUGCUUCCUUCAGUACCUUAUGAGAAAUCAAAGUCUUUGGGUUCUGGGGCGAGUAUUCGCGCAAGCGAGAAAGUUAAAAGAAUUGACGGAAGGGCACCACCAGGCGUGGAGCUUGCGGCUUAAUUUGACUCAACACGGGAAAACUCACUAGUUUAAGACAAGAGUAGGAUUGACAGAUUAAUAGCUCUUUCUUGAUUUCUUGGAUGGUGAUGCAUGGCCGUUUUUAGUUCGUGAAUAUGAUUUGUCUGGUUAAUUCCGAUAACGAACGAGAUCUUAACCUGCUAAUUAGCGGCGAGUACACUAUAUUCUUAUUUGAAAUUGAACAUAGGUAACUAUACAUUUAUUCAGUAAUCAAAUUAGGAUAUUUUUAUUAAAAUAUCCUUUUCCCUGUUCUACUAUAAUAAUUUGUUUUUUUUUACUCUAUUUCUCUCUUCUUUUAAGAAUGUACUUGUUUGAUUAAAUAAAGCUUCUUAGAGGAACAGUGUGUAUCUAACACAAGGAAGUUUAAGGCAACAACAGGUCUGUGAUGUCCUUAGAUAAACUAGGCUGCACGCGUGCUACAAUGAUAUAUAUAACAAGUUGUUAAAAAUGUACUUAUAAAUAAGUGUGUACAAUUUUUCCUGUACUGAAAAGUAUAGGUAAUCUUUAUCAGUAUAUAUCGUAAUUGGGAUAGAUUAUUGCAAUUAUUAAUCUUGAACGAGGAAUGCCUAGUAAGCAUGAUUCAUUAGAUUGUGCUGACUACGUCCCUGCCCUUUGUACACACCGCCCGUCGCUCCUACCGAUUGAAAGAUAUGAUAAAUUGUUUGGAUAUGAAUUAAAAUAAUGAAA
rnacentral:rRNA from 1 species